AGGACGAACGCUGGCGGCGUGCUUAACACAUGCAAGUCGAGCGAGGCCCUUCCUUCGGGAAGGUGCCCUAGCGGCGAACGGGUGAGUAACACGUGGGCAACCUGCCCCUAGCACUGGGAUAACUCCGGGAAACCGGGGCUAAUACCGGAUAUUACCUUCUUGGGCAUCCUCGAAGGUGUAAAGGAUUCUGGCUAGGGAUGGGCCCGCGGCCUAUCAGCUUGUUGGUGGGGUAACAGCCUACCAAGGCGACGACGGGUAGCCGGCCUGAGAGGGUGACCGGCCACACUGGGACUGAGACACGGCCCAGACUCCUACGGGAGGCAGCAGUGGGGAAUCUUGCACAAUGGGCGAAAGCCUGAUGCAGCGACGCCGCGUGAGGGAUGACUGCCUUCGGGUUGUAAACCUCUUUCAGCAGGGACGAAGCGAAAGUGACGGUACCUGCAGAAGAGCACCGGCCAACUACGUGCCAGCAGCCGC
rnacentral:rRNA from 1 species